GUAGUUCAGAGAAAGAAGGUCAACUCCUGAAAGUGCAAGAGGCGUUGAAGGAAACAACUGAGCUGAAGCAGAAGGUCAGAUGUAGUUCCGCAAAUGAAAUCAGAUUUCUAUCAAGGUUGGGCAGCCCAUGGCCUCUGCAGACUUCAGGUCGAAAGGGUUCAAUAAAUGUAGUCAUAAAACUUAAUUAAAAGCUUUUCCUUUUUUUUCCUGUAUUGCUUUUCAAAAGAAAGCCGUAAAAAUAGAGGCAGUGAAAAGAUGACCGAAUUGCAAUUUGACCUGUAAGCUACAACCCUUUAUAACAAAACAUGCAUUAGUACUGAAGGGUAGCACGUUAGACAUCAAUGCUGCUAUUUGACUUCAAUUUAUUUUAAGUCUUAAUUUUUUUAACGUUUCUCUAAUAGCAUGCUGUCUUUCAGCUAUGUGACUCUGCAGAUACUUAAGCAACUAAAUGGCAGUUCAGUGCAGCAAGUUGCAGAACAAGCUGUGUAUAAACUUAGUGUCUACUUGCUUUCAUAUCUGAAGCUACUGGGUCUUUAAAACAAAAAACAUGAAUGCUUGUUAGAAUCAAGCCUGUCUGCUGCAGAUACAGUAAUGGAGUUGUUUUUGUAGAAUGAUAGUGGAUUGUAAAUUUUGACACACUUCUGCCAGUGAGAUAAUCAAACUUCAGUGCUUCUAACUUUUAAGCAAAAUUGUUAUCAUCCUUUGCUUUCUACCUGAGUAAACUAAUGGGCAUGUCUUCUGUAAAAUGAUCCCGUUAUAAGAACGCGUGUAGAUAGAUAAUGCUUGUGAAAAGUGAUCCAGUAGCACUUUUCUUAUAUCAGCCUGAUUACUGGGACACAAAAAAAUAGCAUGGUAACGUUUUUUCCAAACUAACAAAUGCUUUCCACCUGUGCUGGAAAUGACCAGCAGUAUUAAUAAGAGAUAUUUGUUCUUUCAGCUGGCUGAAGUAACUGAAAACCUGACUCGUGUCUCUUCUGAGUAUGACACGCUACUUGCAGAAAAAGAACAGGCUGAAAGAAGAAUGAAGGAGCACGUCUGUCCGGAGCCUGAGAAAGUUGCUGUACUUAAUCAGGAGAAAGAAGAACUGCAGCAAAUGGUAGAGGUCUCUAAAGCAGAGAGAGAGCAGUUAGAGGCUAACUGUCAUGAAAGCAAGAAGAGAUUGUCAGAAGUUCUGACAGAAAUGGAAAGUCUGCAGGAAGAACUAAAGCAUCAUAAAGAGCAAGCUGCUAUUCAGAAGAACUUGAUAGCAGAAGGAGAAGAGAAACAGCAAAAGACUGAAGAAAAACUAACUGAAGAAAUAAACAGACUGAAAGAGAAGGCAAGUACACUAACAAAAGCAACUCUUAAAGCUGCUUUAGAGAAUGUCCCCUGAAGGACUAACGGGAAUAACAGCUACCGACCUAUUUUAAUUUGUACUGUUUUGCAGGUCUGCUAGGUGAGUUUCUGCUAGUAGACUGUGACAUCCUGUUGAUAAAUAGCACGUGUUGAUUUUGUAUUGUUUUUUCUACUUUUGUAGAUAAACGCGUUGAGUGAGGACUUGAAUUUGGUAACUAAGGAAAGGCAACAGCUGCUGGGAGAACUAAAAGAGAAGACUGAAAGUGAAAACAAAGACAAUGAACUUCAACAACUAGAGAAAAGAUGUGCUGUGUUAGCAUGGGAGAGAGAUGAGUUUGAGGAACUGCUGGAAGCUGUCCAAGCAGAGAAGAACAAACUGGAGGUUAACCUACAGAAGAGUGUUGAUAAGGUGCUUUAUCUUUUGAUUAAAGUAGAACAACGAUAAAUGUUUAGGAGAGAAGGCUGGCUGAAUCUCGAAGCUGUUUUUCAAAACAGCUGUCUUGCCAGUAUUAGUGUUAUAUGUACAAAUUGCAGAUACCGGUGUGCUUUGAUUUCUGUCUUGGGGAAUUGCAUUAAGCAUCUGUGUGAAGAUGUAUUCUUUCAAAAAAUCUGAGACUUCUUUAUUUGGGAAGGAAUGAAGAACCAGAAAACAUGGAUGCAACUACCCAAAUGCUUAAUGGGCAUUUAUGUGAAUUUGGUGGUGCGUUUUGGAGUUCCAGAGCUGACGCUGAAACAGCCCAGUUCUCUGUGUAUCUCUGUUUUGCUUCUGGAUAAAGAGUAGCUUCAUAACAGAGCCCUGGAACAGGUUGCCCAGGCUGGCUGCGGAGUGUCCUGUGGAGACAUCCAACACCUGCCUGGAUGAGGGCCUCUGCAACACGCUGUAGGCAACCCUGCCUGAGCAGGGGAGCUGGACUAGAUGAUCUCUAGAGUUCCCUUCUGCCCUCAGCCACUCUGACUUUGUAACGAUGAAGACGACAAUUGAAGUGGUUGGGUGGUGUCCAUCGAGCAGCAGUCUUUGUUCAGAGAGGGAAGUCACC
rnacentral:lncRNA from 1 species